CUUUAACACGAGCGAGUCAGGGAAAAACCCCUAGGUCAAGUCAUCAAGCUAAUGGUAAAGCUACGUUGUUCGUUCAUUCAUUUUGGGUGUUCACGGACCUACGACCUAUUGAGCUACCAGGAAUUUUUACACUGUGAAGACCUUAGACCUACUGAAGCUGGUUCAAGGCUGUGAGGACCUAUGACCUAUUGAACGACGAGGGGUUUCUACACUGUGAAGACCUUAGACCCACUGAAGCUGGUUCAAGGCCGUGAGGACCUAUGACCUAUUGAACAACGAGGGGUUUCUACACUGUGAAGACCUUGGACCUACUGAAGCAGGCUCAAGUCUGUGAGGACCUAUGACCUAUUGAACAGUCGAUGAAAACGUUAUGAUCCGGAAAAGGUUUGUUUUCACCUUUAACCUUUUCCCUGGCGCAAACUUAAAGAAGAUCAGAAUGAUAUGCUUUGCCCUCGGCUUCAUUGCCGGCGCGGUGACCUGCAAGUUCUGCUGUUGCCGCCGGCAUCAUUGCCGAUGCCACCACAGUGACAAGCUCUGCCAGUGCUGCUUCAAAGAUCUGGCCUCGGAGGAAGGCAUUCGGAAACUGAACGAGCAGGUGCAGAAGUUAGCCCAGGCUAUCAAGAAAGAGAUGUCUUCACGGAAACCACCACCCGGACCAUAAUCUUAAGAAUGUCA